rnacentral:rRNA from 1 species
AAGGAUGCUCUCGUUGCAACCACAGGUCAGGCGGGACUACCCGCUGAGUUUAAGCAUAUCAAUAAGCGGAGGA